UACGUAGGGUGCAAGCGUUAUCCGGAAUUAUUGGGCGUAAAGAGCUCGUAGGCGGUUUGUCGCGUCUGCUGUGAAAACCCGAGGCUCAACCUCGGGCCUGCAGUGGGUACGGGCAGACUAGAGUGCGGUAGGGGAGAUUGGAAUUCCUGGUGUAGCGGUGGAAUGCGCAGAUAUCAGGAGGAACACCGAUGGCGAAGGCAGAUCUCUGGGCCUUACCUGACGCUGAGGAGCGAAAGCGUGGGUAGCGAACAGG
rnacentral:rRNA from 1 species